rnacentral:rRNA from 1 species
GUCUAUAGCCACGCCAACCCUGAAUGUGACUGAUCCCAUCUCAGAAGCUAAGCAGGGUCGGGCCUGGUUAGUACUUGGAUGAGAGACCAUCUAGGAAGACCAGGUGCUGUAGGCG